rnacentral:rRNA from 1 species
UACAGAGGUCUCAAGCGUUGUUCGGAUUCAUUGGGCGUAAAGGGUGCGUAGGCGGCGCGGUAAGUCGGGUGUGAAAUCUCGGAGCUUAACUCCGAAACUGCAUUCGAUACUGCCGUGCUUGAGGACUGGAGAGGAGACUGGAAUUUACGGUGUAGCGGUGAAAUGCGUAGAUAUCGUAAGGAACACCUGCGGCGAAGGCGGGUUGCUGGGCCGACACUGACGCUGAUGCGCGAAAGCCAGGGGAGCGAACGGG